rnacentral:rRNA from 1 species
GGAAUAUUGGUCAAUGGGUGAGAGCCUGAACCAGCCAUGCCGCGUGCAGGAAGACGGCCUUCUGGGUUGUAAACUGCUUUUGCCAGGGGCUAAAAAGCCCGUGCGCGGGAAAUUGAAAGUACCUGGUGAAUAAGCCACGGCUAACUACGUUCCAGCAGCCGCGGUAAUACGUAGGUGGCAAGCGUUGUCCGGAUUUAUUGGGUUUAAAGGGUGCGUAGGCGGCCUUGUAAGUCAGUGCUGAAAUACCCCGGCUGAACCGGGGGGGUGGCAUUGAUACUGCAGGGCUUGAGUAAAGAUGAUGUAGGCGGAAUUGACGGUGUAGCGGUGGAAUGCAUAGAUAUCGUCAAGAACACCAAUAGCGAAGGCAGCUUACUAAGCUUUAACUGACGCUGAUGCACGAAAGUGUGGGGACCAAA